GGGAGGGAGGAGCGAUCGUAGUAAUUCUCUUCAUUUCAAAUCCCUGUCGUGGCAGCACGGGCAAGGCAGGGGACCUUUCUCCCCUUCAAACUAAGGGGAAAACCCUCCACCGAGAGCCUAGUGCACGAGCUAAAGAGCAAACGGAGGACUUUUGGGAGGAGGAGACAUUAGUUUGAAGGCACGCUGUGGUGGUAUCAGCUCACUGUGUGCACUAGUGUCUCCUCACUUGCACUGGAUACACGAAGCAAGACGUUUUGACUUCCCCGAGAUCUCCCUGAAACCCGCCAAACAUUCACACGACAUCAUUCUAUAGGAGGUAUCUGUUGCUCAAGAUGGCGGCUGGUCUGGUUUAAUCGAGGACGGGUCAGGCCGAGAGAGACCUGAAGAAUCUUCUGCAUUCUAGUCCGUGAAUGUUAAUGAGUCAUGUUGGAGGAUAGUAACAAAUCAUGUUAAAAGAAGAGAUGUUACAUACUAGCCACCAAGGAUGAUGAUGUCAGCUGUUCAGCUCCAAUGAAGAAUGCAAGAAACACAAGAUUUGUGCUGCAUCACUGAACACAUCCCAAGAACAAGAGUUAAAUGAAGAAGCAAGUAAAAUGUCAGAUUGGAUGGAUUAACGCUCAUCAUUCAGGCAUCUAAAGGACAGUCCAAAUGACUUAAAGAAAUA